AAUGGACCAAUUGAGCAGCUUCCCGAGGACCUGAAUCGCACCUGGCAACUGAGAGGCUAUUCCUGAGCUUCUACAAGCAGCCGUUUCCGGUUCCUCUGGCUGGGUCUCGGUGGUGAGUGCCCCGCCUGUUGAUAUGUUCAGUCGGAGCAGUAGAAUGGUCCCUGAGGGACACGGUGAUUCCGAAAGCAGAGACCGGACCACUCUGGAGUCGAUCACGGAUGGCGGGAACACACAGACGCUGGGGGGGCCGGAGCUUUCGGUAGGAGGGGGUGAGGUGAAUGAGAGGCCCCGAGAUCCAGGCUUAGCUUGGGCCCAAGCCCAGUCUCAGAUGGAUUGUGGGGCUACGGUGUGUAAGAGGUUAUCUUUGUGCAAUCACAAAUUCAGGUCAGGUUAGCCUUGUUGCUCGUGUCCGUUCCCGAAGUAUUCUAGGGACAUGAACCAUUGUACCCGACAGGUGUAGUCCAACCAAAUGAUUGGGGCCCAUAGCGGACAUCGAGCGGGAAUAGACCGCGGAUUUCCUUCGCAGGAUGUCUGGACCUGCCCUAGUGGCAAAUGUUCUUGUAACCAACAUUGAGCAGCGAAUUGAAGAUUCAAAAUCAUAAAGUCGAGCUCUUUCUAGAACUGUCACUAAUUAGAUGAUCGUGCCAAUUUUCCCCCCUUUGGUACUGAGGGUGAAACUACGGUUUCACGCAUAGUAGACUUUCUACCACUGAGCUCAGACCCCUAUCCUUGUUUUAAACUUUAUUUUGAAAUGAGGUUGACCCAAGCUAACUCUGAAAUCACUGUAUAGCCCCAGUAGACCUGCAAUUAAGGUCUUGCCUCAGUACCCCUUAGUAGCUAGAUCCAAACCCACAUCUGGACACCUUUUAACUUUGCUUUCCUCAGCUGCAAAGAGCCCAUAGUGCCUCUCUUUGAUAAUACAGAGGGCAAUUUAAACUAUUAUAAGAUGUUAAGUGAAAAGAUUCGCCAGAUUAUGAGAAAGAGUUUGGGGGUCAACAAACAAGAUUAGUACCUUGAAAAUUCCAAAUAAACCCCAGGUCUCUUGUCUCUUUCGUUAGAGAUGGAGUCUUACUCUAUGCCCUUGGCUGCUCAGAACUUGCUCUGUAGACCAGCCUGGCCUCCAACAUCGAACACAUCCAUUUGCUUCUGCCUCCCAAAUGCUGGGAUUAAAGGCAUGUGCCACCACUGCCCGGCCAAUGUUAUAUUUUUAUUAUAUAUAAAUUAUGUAUCAAUAUAGUAUUUAUAUUGUAUAUAAAUAUAUGAUGUAUAAUAUAGAAUUAAUAUAUAUGUUUAUAUUAAUAAGAUGUUAUAGAAUUAAAAUAACAUAAGACUGGUGUGGUCUGGUGUAGUGGUUCUGGCCUUUAAUCCCAGCAUUCAAGAGGUAGAGACAGGCAGAUAUCUGUGAAUUCAAGGUCAACCUGGUUUUCAUACUGAGUUCCAGGCUAGUCAGUGCUGCAUAGUGAAAUACAUCAGAAAGAGUGAUAGAGACCAGUGUCAUGGUAUAGACCCACAAUCCCUGCAUUCGGAAGGUUGAAGCAACAGGAUAGAUAAGUUUGAGGCAAACCACACAUAGCAAGAGCAAAUCUCUCUCUCCCUGUCCUUCAAAAUGCAGAUACAGUUUUUCAAUUCUAAAAGUAGUUCAUGUGACCAGGGCAUGGUGGCACACACCUUUAAGAGGUGCACUUGAGAGGCAGAAGCAGAUGGAGCUCUGAGUGUGAGGUCAGCCUGGCCUACAAAGGACCAGGACAGCCAAGGCUAUUACACAGAAAUAUCCUGUCUCAAAAAACAACCAAAUAAACAAAUAGUGUUAAUUUUUAAAUUGUCAAUACUGAAAAGAUAGAGGGCGUUUUAAAGACUCAGAAGUUAGUAGGUAUACUCUUUGUUAUAAGUGUCUGACUAUUCUAGUGACUCUGACCAUAAAGAAAUAAGCAAGUAUUUAUAUUUAGUAUGUGCAUCAUCUCUUGUCCCAUUGCCAGGCCCAGUCUCAAUGUUAAUAGAGAACCAGGCCCUCCAUGGUACUCCCCUAACAUUCUGACACUAGAUACUCUGUGGUCACAUGCUUAACUUAGUCUACCUGUGUUGGACCUGACUCUGAAGUGGUAUGAUCUACGGUGAUCCAUCUUAUGUGUAUGAAUGUUUUUCCUGCAUGUAUGUCUGUACACUACAUGUAUGCCUGGUGUUCAAGGAGGUCAUACGAAAGUGUCAUAUCCCCCAAAUGGAGUUACGGGUAGUUGUGAACCACCAUGAGGAUGCUGGGAGCAGCAUGGGUCCUCGAGAAGAGCAACAAGUGUCCUGUACUGCUGAGCCAUCUCCUCAGCCCUACUUGUGUUAGUUCAUAAUAGAAAAAAUUCUUUGGAUUUUAGAAGUAAAAUGUGUGGCUCCUGCUUUUCCUGGAUUGGAUGUGUGUGUACAUGGUCAUGAACAUGCUCAUUGCAUGAAUGCACACGCCUUUGGGGGCCAGAGGAUAGUUUUUGAGAUGGUCUUUUACUGGCUGGGACUCACAAAUUAGGCUAGACUGGCCAAUCAGGGAUGCCCAGGGAUCCUGCCUUUACCUCCCUACUGGGUGACAAGUGCCUAACAUUUUCGUAUGGGUUCAGGGAUUGAACUAAUACCGUGCUUACAAACACUGUACUGAGCUGUUUUCCCAGACCUGUCCUGGUUUUGAUCCAUGCAAAUAAUAAUAAAGCCUUUGGAAACAC
rnacentral:lncRNA from 1 species